rnacentral:lncRNA from 1 species
AGAAGAUAGAAUUGGGAGAGAGAAAGAAAAGAUAAUUAUUACUCAAAGGCACCAGUGUUGGAGGUAUGCCCUAGAGGCAAUCAUAGAGAUGAUGAUAUCUGAUUGUAUCCAUGAUUUGUAUAUUGUGUUCAUUGAAUAUCCAUUAAAGGCUACUUGAAUUGAUCUACAAUUAUGUGAAUUGUAUGUGGAACUCUUUACUUGUAUGGUUAUUCUAAAAGUUGUCCCUAGUCGAAGUUCAUGUGUGGACACAUA